rnacentral:rRNA from 2 species
GCAUAUCAAUAAGCGGAGGAAAAGAAACCAACAGGGAUUGCCUCAGUAACGGCGAGUGAAGCGGCAACAGCUCAAAUUUGAAAUCUGGCCCUAGGCCCGAGUUGUAAUUUGCAGAGGAUGCUUUUGGUGCGGUGCCUUCCAAGUUCCCUAGAACGGGACGCCAGAGAGGGUGAGAGCCCCGUACAGUUGGACACCAAGCCUUUGUAAAGCUCCUUCGACGAGUCGAGUAGUUUGGGAAUGCUGCUCAAAAUGGGAGGUAUAUUUCUUCUAAAGCUAAAUACCGGCCAGAGACCGAUAGCGCACAAGUAGAGUGAUCGAAAGAUGAAAAGCACUUUGAAAAGAGGGUUAAACAGCACGUGAAAUUGUUAAAAGGGAAGCGCUUGUGACCAGACUUGCGUCCGGUGAAUCACCCAGCUCUCGCGGCUGGGGCACUUCGCCGGCUCAGGCCAGCAUCAGCUCGCUGUCGGGGACAAAAGCUUCAGGAACGUAGCUCUCUUCGGGGAGUGUUAUAGCCUGUUGCAUAAUACCCUUCGGCGGGCUGAGGUACGCGCUCCGCAAGGAUGCUGGCAUAAUGGUCAUCAGCGACCCGUCUUGAAACACGGACC